rnacentral:rRNA from 1 species
ACGCACGCUGGCGGCGUGCUUAACACAUGCAAGUCGAACGGAAAGGCCCUGCUUGCAGGGUACUCGAGUGGCGAACGGGUGAGUAACACGUGGGUGAUCUGCCCUGCACUUCGGGAUAAGCUUGGGAAACUGGGUCUAAUACCGGAUAGGAGCCAUCUUUAGUGUGGUGGUUGGAAAGUUUUUUCGGUGUAGGAUGAGCUCGCGGCCUAUCAGCUUGUUGGUGGGGUAAUGGCCUACCAAGGCGGCGACGGGUAGCCGGCCUGAGAGGGUGUACGGCCACAUUGGGACUGAGAUACGGCCCAGACUCCUACGGGAGGCAGCAGUGGGGAAUAUUGCACAAUGGGCGCAAGCCUGAUGCAGCGACGCCGCGUGGGGGAUGAAGGCCUUCGGGUUGUAAACUCCUUUCGCUAGGGACGAAGCUUUUUUGUGACGGUACCUAGAUAAGAAGCACCGGCUAACUACGUG